rnacentral:rRNA from 1 species
GUUGAACGCUGGCGGCGUGCCUAAUACAUGCAAGUCGAGCGAACAGACGAGGAGCUUGCUCCUCUGACGUUAGCGGCGGACGGGUGAGUAACACGUGGAUAACCUACCUAUAAGACUGGGAUAACUUCGGGAAACCGGAGCUAAUACCGGAUAAUAUAUUGAACCGCAUGGUUCAAUAGUGAAAGACGGUUUUGCUGUCACUUAUAGAUGGAUCCGCGCCGCAUUAGCUAGUUGGUAAGGUAACGGCUUACCAAGGCAACGAUGCGUAGCCGACCUGAGAGGGUGAUCGGCCACACUGGAACUGAGACACGGUCCAGACUCCUACGGGAGGCAGCAGUAGGGAAUCUUCCGCAAUGGGCGAAAGCUUGACGGAGCAACGCCGCGUGAGUGAUGAAGGUCUUCGGAUCGUAAAACUCUGUUAUUAGGGAAGAACAAAUGUGUAAGUAACUAUGCACGUCUUGACGGUACCUAAUCAGAAAGCCACGGCUAACUACGUG